rnacentral:rRNA from 1 species
UACGUAGGCAGCGAGCGUUGUUCGGAGUUACUGGGCGUAAAGGGCGUGUAGGCGGUUGGUUAAGUUUGGUGUGAAAUCUCCCGGCUCAACUGGGAGGGUGCGCCGAAUACUGAAUGACUCGAGUGUGGGAGAGGUGAGUGGAAUUCCUGGUGUAGCGGUGAAAUGCGUAGAUAUCAGGAGGAACACCGGUGGUGUAGACGGCUCACUGGACCAUAACUGACGCUGAGGCACGAAAGCGUGGGGAUCAAACAGG